rnacentral:rRNA from 1 species
UACGGGGGGAGCAAGCGUUGUUCGGAUUUACUGGGCGUAAAGGGCGCGUAGGCGGUCAGCACAAGUCAGUUGUGAAAUCUCCGGGCUUAACUCGGAAAGGUCAACUGAUACUGUGCGACUAGAGUGCAGAAGGGGCAACUGGAAUUCUCGGUGUAGCGGUGAAAUGCGUAGAUAUCGAGAGGAACACCUGCGGCGAAGGCGGGUUGCUGGGCUGACACUGACGCUGAGGCGCGAAAGCCGGGGGAGCGAACGGG